GAUGAACGCUAGCGAUAGGCCUAACACAUGCAAGUCGAGGGGCAUCACAUGAAGUAGCAAUACGGAUGGUGGCGACCGGCGCACGGGUGAGUAACACGUAUGCAACCUGCCUUCAACAAGGGGAUAACCCGUUGAAAGACGGACUAAUACCCUAUAACACAGGGGUCCCGCAUGGGGAUAUUUGUUAAAGAUUUUAUCGGUUGAAGAUGGGCAUGCGUUCCAUUAGCUUGUUGGCGGGGUAACGGCCCACCAAGGCAACGAUGGAUAGGGGAACUGAGAGGUUUAUCCCCCACACUGGUACCUGAGACACGGACCAGACUCCUACGGGAGGCAGCAGUGAGGAAUAUUGGUCAAUGGACGCAAGUCUGAACCAGCCACGUCGCGUGAAGGAAGACGGCCCUACGGGUUGUAAACUUCUUUAUACGGGAAUAAAGUGCCCCACGUGGGGGUUUUGCAUGUACCGUAUGAAUAAGGAUCGGCUAACUCCGUGCCAGCAGCCGCGG
rnacentral:rRNA from 1 species